rnacentral:rRNA from 1 species
UGUAACCAUGGCCAUGCUGUCUCCACCCGAGACUCAGUGAAAUCGAAUUCGCCGUGAAGAUGCGGUGUACCCGCGGCUAGACGGAAAGACCCCGUGAACCUUUACUACAGCUUGGCACUGAACAUUGAACCUACAUGUGUAGGAUAGGUGGGAGGCUUUGAAGGCGUGACGCCAGUUGCGCUGGAGCCGUCCUUGAAAUACCACCCUUGUAUGUUUGAUGUUCUAACGCAGGGCCCUGAAUCGGGCUCGCGGACAGUGCCUGGUGGGUAGUUUGACUGGGGCGGUCUCCUCCCAAAGAGUAACGGAGGAGCACGAAGGUUGGCUAAUCCUGGUCGGACAUCAGGAGGUUAGUGCAAUGGCAUAAGCCAGCUUAACUGCGAGACGGACAGGUCGAGCAGGUACGAAAGU